UACGUAGGGCGCAAGCGUUGUCCGGAAUUAUUGGGCGUAAAGAGCUCGUAGGCGGUUUGUCGCGUCUGCUGUGAAAACUCGGGGCUUAACCCCGGGCCUGCAGUGGGUACGGGCAGACUAGAGUGCGGUAGGGGAGACUGGAAUUCCUGGUGUAGCGGUGAAAUGCGCAGAUAUCAGGAGGAACACCGGUGGCGAAGGCGGGUCUCUGGCCCGGUACUGACGCUGAGGUGCGAAAGCGUGGGGAGCAAACAGG
rnacentral:rRNA from 1 species